AUAAAACAUAGACUUAAAAAUAGAAACAGAAAUAGAGGAAAAGGAGAAAGAUAUAUCAAAGUAUUUAUAAUGGUUAUCUUUCAAUGGUAGGAAUAUGAAUUUAUAUUAUUUUCCACAUUUAUCUACAUUCUUCUACAUUUUCAAAUGCUUAUCUUUUACAUUUUCCAAAAUAGACAUACAUCAUUGUAGCAAUGAUUUUUAAAAAUACCAAAAAAUACUCUUUAAAAAAACCCACAAAUUCUUAAAUUUAUUUUUUUUUAUUUUUUAUUUUUUAUUAUACUUUAAGUUUUAGGGUACAUGUGCACAUUGUGCAGGUUAGUUACAUAUGUAUACACGUGCCAUGCUGGUGCGCUGCACCCACUAACUCGUCAUCUAGCAUUAGGUAUAUCUCCCAAUGCUAUCCCUCCCCCCUCCCCCCACCCCACCACAGUCCCCAGAGUGUGAUAUUCCCCUUCCUGUGUCCAUGUGAUCUCAUUGUUCAGUUCCCACCUAUGGGUGAGAAUAUGCGGUGUUUGGUUUUUUGAUCUUGCGACAGUUUACUGAGAAUGAUGAUUUCCAAUUUCAUCCAUGUCCCUACAAAGGACAUGAACUCAUCAUUUUUUAUGGCUGCAGAGUGUUCCAUGGAAGUCAGUGUGGCGAUUCCUCAGGGAUCUAGAACUAGAAAUACCAUUUGACCCAGCCAUCCCAUUACUGGGUAUAUACCCAAAUGACUAUAAAUCAUGCUGCUAUAAAGACACAUGCACACGUAUGUUUAUUGCGGCAUUAUUCACAAUAGCAAAGACUUGGAACCAACCCAAAUGUCCAACAAUGAUAGACUAGAUUAAGAAAAUGUGGCACAUAUACACCAUGGAAAACCCACAAAUUCUUAAAGCCCACAUCUGAAAAUCUAGACAUUCAAGUAUGUACAUUUUCUUUCAAGAGUAUCAUUACAGUGUUGUUGACGUUACUGAAAAUAUGUUUUGCAUUUUCCUCGUAGCUUGUGGCAUAUUCCAUAAAUAUCUACAAUAGUGAUUAGUUUUGGCUGUCUGAAGUUUGUGUUGUUUGUUUUAAUUUUUUGUUUUGUUUUUAUAAGUUCUGGAAAAAGUCAAGUUGCAUGACUCUCAUGAUCUUCCAAAGAUGUAUUACUAAAGCAAAGAGACAUUCUUACAGGUGUUUUAAACAUGAGAUUCAGUUUGCUAAUGGUGGCACCUCUCACUGGAAAGCAUUUCUUACUGUGCUGUAGAGGGUGACUAUGGAUGCUGGUGGCAGUCUCACUUUCCCUAGUGGCUACUGAACGUGUUUGUGUCUCCUUUAGAACCAAUAGUUUCUAAUGAAUAUUUUCUAGUCUCCUCUACUUCCUCCUUCCUUCCUAUCUUCCCUCUCUUCAUUAUUUUCCCAUGCAAAUGUACGUGCAAUACAGAACAUCAGAAUAGCACAUCCUGUAAAGCACAAAAGCAGUGUUUGUUUCCUGGAAAACCCUCCGUAGAGGCUAGCUUAUUAUUAGUCUUCUUAUUACUGCUUGAUUACUAUGAUUAAAUGAUGAUACUACACCCUUCCAGUUAUAAGGCUUGCCUUUCCCCAGUGGCAGUGAUGAGUCUGUGCAUAAUGAUUGAUGUUUUCUCAGCUGGCACCUCUUCUAACCAAUGACGUGCACUUACGGCAAGGCUACCUGAUCUAAGGAACUGCCAUCCGUGGUUAUAGAGGGUAAACCGAGGCUGUAAACUCAUUACCUUUGGGAGACCUAAUGUAUCCCAGAAAACACAGAUGAAAUGAUCAUUGUAAUCACUGAAUCAAGAAACAUAGUAAUGUAGGGUCUGGCCCUAAAAUGAAUAUGGUAUUUUCAGAGUGUAAUUGUCUCACUCAUGUGAGAUAAAUGAAGUCUUCCAGAGCAUGACAGAAUAGGUAAUUUACUAAAUAAUAACAUGGAGGCUCUGGAAGUGUGAGCUUCUUAAAGAACAGCCCCACUUAUUGAUUUUGGUUUUAACAUAUUUGAUGGAAAAUAAAGGUCAUAAUAAUAAACGGAUAAAGUAAGCACUGAAAUAUUUUCUCAAUACAUCAGUACAUGAUUUUAUGUGUACAUAUAAACAUAUGGAUAGUUGCAAACACGCGGGUAUCUCACUUACUCAGAAGUUUUCCUCAGCUAUUUAUAACAGCAAAUACAAAGACUAAGCCAUUUAAAUGCUCUGAGAAGCAAAAUAGAUGCCAUAAAUCCAAAUCCUGAAGCUUUUUUACCCAAAAAGGAGGUUGACCAAGCGAAGGUAACUCCAAAUUCAGCAUCUGCUCAUACUAUUUCAAAAAUGCAUCUUUAGAUAUGUUAAAUCAUAUUUGCUUGUACAUUACUUUAGCAACCUUGGUUACAUAAUUUAUCAGCCCAGCACAGAUUAGAAUCAACAAAUUAGGCAGAGCAUGGUGACAGUCUGACAGAUUCAAGGCACAUUAUCAGAAGCAAAAAUGAGAACGGAAGGCUCACAUUGAUGGAGAAGGGAAAACAAGCAGAAGGGCUUAAAUAAGCUUAGUCUAGGGUCAUUUAAUGCAGGAGAAAAGGCUCUACUGUAACCUGAUAGGCCUACUGUAUUGCAGGUAAAAAAUGAAAUAGCUUAUGUUUAUUAUAAUCAUAUUGAGUAAUCAUCAAAAGUUAUACUAAAACAUACUGUUCCUUUCAUUCAUUUCCAUGUAACUGACAUUUAUUCUUAGAAACAACUUAUAAUUCAUAUGCUUGAUUACCUGUAUAUAGAAAGGUCUGGGGCAUAGCAGGCAUUUAAGAAAUUAACUGAAUGAGGAGCCACUCCUAUCUUCUGACGUGUUCUCAGCAUCCUUAAUACCACUACACAUAGUAAUAUGUCAUAUGUAUUAAAUCUUCCAUUACAAAGUCUUACCCUGCUUCAUUCCAUUCUUCAAAAUCUAAGAUUAUCGUUUUAUUUGUUGCUUGAUCCAUUUUAGUGCAUAAUCAUAAGCUGCCUUAUAUUGUUGUUUAAUCAUUUAAAUGUUUCACUUCUGCCUUGUUCAUCUUCUCAGUUAGACAUUUUGAACUCUUAAGAAGAGGAAUUACUCCCGCUAGGACACUUCUGUCUUUCAUCUCACCUAGCAUAUAGCCAAAGUACAACGUAGUUAUUUCAACAAAUACGUUCACUGAAUUUAAAAAUAUGAAGAUUAAAUAUUAUCAAUGCAGUAAGUGAAACUAAAGGCCAAAACUGUUUUCCAAUAAAUAAGAUUACAUACAGUGCCUUAAAAUACCACAGUAAGUGGCUUGUUCUCAUAGCAGCAGAUUGCAAACUCAGCCUGUCUACAUUUCCGGGCAAUCUGACAAUGAUUUAUUUACUAUUUAUUGCUAAUGAUGAUUACUUUGAAGAUUAGAAAGUGGUUUUUAAUAUCCAGUGGAUACAAAUGCCAGGAGCGUUUGAUGUUUUACCAUUGUGAAUUUGAACUGCAUAUACAUGGUUAAUGUAAGUCUGAAAGUAUGUCUAAUUGUUGGGGAUCUUUAUAUAAAUGCAAAGGAAAGAUCUGUGCUUCUAGUGAAACAAUCACCUUCUGCGUCACACAGCUAUUCACAAUCUGACUGCAGAUCCAGAUUGUGACUAAUAUUUGGCUCUAAUAUUAUAGGUGGUUACCGUGGAGAGAAUCAGUAAGAGCAUAAUUGUCAUUUCCUUGGAAAAAUUUAAUCCACAGAUGGAUCCCAACACCCAAUUGCAUUCGUGUCCAAGACUAAUGGGGAUUUUUGCUAAAUAAGGCCUGAUUCAGCCAAAAAAGAUAGACUCUGAAUACAGAAAUCUGCAUCACGCAUCA
rnacentral:lncRNA from 1 species